AUUUGUAUUCUCAGGGGAAGAUGUCUGGAUCUUACUCAUUUGAUGGCUGAGACACAAAAAACUUGACUGAGGCAAUGGGUGAGAGCAAAAGGAAUGCAUUC